UGUAGCUCAGUGACACAGCUUCUGCUUGGCAAGCAGAAGGUCCUAGUUCAAUCCCAGGUA
rnacentral:tRNA from 1 species